UUUGCUAACCUGACGAGCAAUGCUAUUCUGGUUUUCUUACAGAGCCUGGAAGAUAGCGAUCCUGGAGGCAAAAGCAACCCAGGUUCAUUUGUACGACCCAUACGAUGACUACUACCAGACGGUGCCCCUCGACUCCCACCAGACGGUGUAUGUCAGCAACGAUUACUACGGCCAGCAGUACGGAGGUAGGUUCUCUCUCCUCUUUUCACCCCUUUCCUGGGUUAUGUGCAUGGUUUGCUCGGCCGGAGUAGAGAUGGCGAUGGAAAACCGCCUUCUAAGUAUUCCUCUCAUAAGAAAAGCCUAUGAAAUUCAUAGAGAUGCCAUAAGUCAACUUGAAGGGUACACAUCCCGGUUUGUGACAGUGUUUUUGGUGUUAUAGUGUGAAAUGUUAAAUCAAUUUUGUUGCUGUUGGAUUGUGUCUAUGUGUUCCGGCAAGCUUUCCAGCAGCACAGGAGAUAAUUACAUGCCAG
rnacentral:lncRNA from 11 species